ACGGAGGGGGCGAGCGUUAUUCGGAAUUAUUGGGCGUAAAGGGCGCGUAGGCGGUUCGUACAGUCAGACGUGAAAUUCCUGGGCUCAACCUGGGGGCUGCAUUUGAUACGUAUGGGCUUGAGUGGGGAAGAGGGUCGUGGAAUUCCCAGUGUAGAGGUGAAAUUCGUAGAUAUUGGGAAGAACACCGGUGGCGAAGGCGGCGACCUGGUCCUUUUACUGACGCUGAGGCGCGAAAGCGUGGGGAGCAAACAGGA
rnacentral:rRNA from 1 species